CCUACGGGUGGCAGCAGUGGGGAAUAUUGCACAAUGGGGGAAACCCUGAUGCAGCAACGCCGCGUGAGUGAAGAAGUCUUUCGGUAUGUAAAGCUCUAUCAGCAGGGAAGAAAAUGACGGUACCUGAGUCAGAAGCCCCGGCUAACUACGUGCCAGCAGCCGCGGUAAUACGUAGGGGGCCAGCGUUAUCCGGAUUGACUGGGUGUAAAGGGAGCGUAGACGGGGUGACAAGUCUGAAGUGAAAGCCCGGGGCUCAACCCCGGGACUGCUUUGGAAACUGUGUGGCUGGAGUGCUGGAGAGGCAAGCGGAAUUUGUAGUGUAGCGGUGAAAUGCGUAGAUAUCAGGAAGAACACCAGUGGCGAAGGCGGCUUGCUGGACAGUAACUGACGUUGAGGCUCGAAAGCGUGGGGAGCAAACAGGAUUAGAUACCCGUGUAGUC
rnacentral:rRNA from 1 species